AGAUAACAUACUGGUUUUAACUUUUGAACAUCUUGAAUCUUGUGAAAGGGAAGGCCGCUUAGCUAAGGUAUUUGAAACACUUCUCUAGUCAUUUCAGAUAACAGUUCUGAGUGCCUACAAGUCAAAAUUUGCUCAGUUUGUUAUAUUUUAUGCUUGCGCAUUAGAUCCUGAAAACGGUGGUAUGAGAUUUGCCACAAUGCUGGUAGAAUUAUUUGUCCAAUACUCACAGCCCCAACCAACCAGGU